ensembl:snRNA U6 U6 spliceosomal RNA
GUGCUGGCUUCGGCAGCACAUAUUCUAAGGUUGGAACAGUACAGAGAAGAUGAUCGUGGCCCCUGUGCAAAAAUGACAUGCAAAUUUCUGAAACAUUUCAUAUUUUU